AAUGACAAUAAGCGGAGGAAAAGAAACCAACCGGGAUUGCCUCAGUAACGGCGAGUGAAGCGGCAAGAGCUCAAAUUUGAAAGCUGGCUCCUUCGGAGUCCGCAUUGUAAUUUGCAGAGGAUGCUUUGGGUGCGGCCCCCGUCUAAGUGCCCUGGAACGGGCCGUCAGAGAGGGUGAGAAUCCCGUCUUGGGCGGGGUGUCCGUGCCCGUGUAAAGCUCCUUCGACGAGUCGAGUUGUUUGGGAAUGCAGCUCUAAAUGGGUGGUAAAUUUCAUCUAAAGCUAAAUACUGGCCGGAGACCGAUAGCGCACAAGUAGAGUGAUCGAAAGAUGAAAAGCACUUUGAAAAGAGAGUUAAACAGCACGUGAAAUUGUUGAAAGGGAAGCGCUUGCGACCAGACUCGCCCGCGGGGUUCAGCCGGCAUUCGUGCCGGUGUACUUCCCCGUGGGCGGGCCAGCGUCGGUUUGGGCGGCCGGUCAAAGGCCCCUGGAAUGUAGUGCCCUCCGGGGCACCUUAUAGCCAGGGGUGCAAUGCGGCCAGCCUGGACCGAGGAACGCGCUUCGGCACGGACGCUGGCAUAAUGGUCGUAAACGACCCGUCUUGAAACACGGACCAAGGAGUCUAACAUCUACGCGAGUGUUCGGGUGUCAAACCCGUGCGCGCAGUGAAAGCGAACGGAGGUGGGAGCCCCCUUGCGGGGCGCACCAUCGACCGAUCCUGAUGUCUUCGGAUGGAUUUGAGUAAGAACGUAGCUGUGGGGACCCGAAAGAUGGUGAACUAUGCCUGAAUAGGGCGAAGCCAGAGGAAACUCUGGUGGAGGCUCGCAGCGGUUCUGACGUGCAAAUCGAUCGUCAAAUUUGGGUAUAGGGGCGAAAGACUAAUCGAACCAUCUAGUAGCUGGUUCCU
rnacentral:rRNA from 1 species